CCAGGUCAUUAGUUUCAGCCCCAAAGGGCAACCGAUCAUUCCUUCACUGCCUUCCUUCCACUUUUCUCCCACCUUUACUCCAUUUGGUAGAAGUUUUAUUUAAAUCUCAGUCCUGUGGGUGCCUACAAAGACAAGAGAAGGCGCUUUCGUUCCUGUGGCUGGAGUUACAAGCUGCUGUGGGCUGACCUGUAUGGGUGCUAGGGAUCAAAUGCCCUUUCUCUGCAUUGGUGCCAACUGCUCCGUACUGCUCAGCCACCGCUCAAGGUGUAGGCUCUCCUUGGACAGGACUCCUUAGAACCAAGAAGCAUGCUCCAUGGAGUCUCCUGGUCACCCGCCUUCCUUGGUACCAUCUACUUUCUCAACCCAUCUGCUGUCUGUGAGAGAUGCUUCUUCAGACUAUAUGCAUCUUCUCCAUCUGCAUGGAUAAAAUUUUUCAUAUGGACAAUAAAUACUUUGAGGCAGCAGUGCCACCUCACUACAUCUGCAGGUCAUAGGCCAAUGGACUGCAACUCAACACCGAAGUUCUCUUCUGCAUUACUGCUCUUUACCAACCCUCUCCAACAGUCUGCAGACGACUUUCAAUCCAAUGCAGAACUCCAGCAGAAAGCACCACUGAAGUGCUAGUAUGCUUUUAA